ensembl:snRNA U2 U2 spliceosomal RNA
AUCGCUUCUCGGCCUUUUGGCUAAGAUCAAGUGUAGGAAUUAAAAAUAUGACCAAAAAACUGCCUAAAAAUGAUGGUCUCAGUCUAAGAGUAUCAUCAUCCUAAAAUGCUUAAACACUAUUUAAUUAAUUACACUAUAUAUGUAAGUUAAUUGUC